rnacentral:rRNA from 1 species
AGCGAACGCUGGCGGCAGGCCUAACACAUGCAAGUCGAACGAAGUCUUCGGACUUAGUGGCGGACGGGUGAGUAACACGUGGGAACGUGCCUUUAGGUUCGGAAUAACUCAGGGAAACUUGUGCUAAUACCGAAUGUGCCCUUCGGGGGAAAGAUUUAUCGCCUUUAGAGCGGCCCGCGUCUGAUUAGCUAGUUGGUGAGAUAAAGGCUCACCAAGGCGACGAUCAGUAGCUGGUCUGAGAGGAAGAUCAGCCACAUUGGGACUGAGACACGGCCCAAACUCCUACGGGAGGCAGCAGUGGGGAAUCUUGCGCAAUGGGCGAAAGCCUGACGCAGCCAUGCCGCGUGAAUGAUGAAGGUCUUAGGAUUGUAAAAUUCUUUCACCGGGGACGAUAAUGACGGUACCCGGAGAAGAAGCCCCGGCUAACUUCGUGCCAGCCGCCGCGGUAAGAC